GAAAGCAUUAAGUGAACCACCCUGGGGAGUACGUUGGCAACAAUGAAACUCAAAGGAAUUGACCGGGGACCCGCACAAGCGGUGGAACAUGUGGUUUAAUUCGAUGAUACGCGAGGAACCUUACCUGGACUUAAAUGUAAGUUGCAUGGGACAGAGAUGCCCCUUUCUUCGGACUGCUUACAAGGUGCUGCAUGGUUGUCGUCGGCUCGUGCCGUGAGGUGUCGGGUUAAGUCCCAUAACGAGCGCAACCCCUAUCGUUAGUUACCAUCAGGUUAAGCUGGGGACUCUAGCGAAACUGCCUGUGCAAACAGAGAGGAAGGUGGGGAUGACGUCAAAUCAGCACGGCCCUUACGUCCAGGGCUACACACGUGUUACAAUGGCAUAGACAGAGGGCAGCUACACGGCGACGUGAUGCGAAUCUCGAAACUAUGUCUCAGUUCGGAUCGGAGUCUGCAACCCGACUCCGUGAAGUUGGAAUCGCUAGUAAUCGCGCAUCAGCCAUGGCGCGGUGAAUACGUUCCCGGGUCUUGUACACACCGCCCGUCAAGCCAUGGAAGCUGGGGGUGCCUGAAGUCCGUAACCGAAAGGAUCGGCCUAGGG
rnacentral:rRNA from 1 species